rnacentral:rRNA from 1 species
GAUGAACGCUAGCGGCAGGCUUAAUACAUGCAAGUCGAGGGGCAGCACGGUGUAGCAAUACAUGGGUGGCGACCGGCAAACGGGUGCGGAACACGUACAGAACCUUCCUCAGAGCGGGGGAUAGCCCAGAGAAAUUUGGAUUAAUACCCCAUAGGAUAGUGGAGUGGCAUCACUCAGCUAUUAAAGAUUUAUCACUUUGAGAUGGCUGUGCGUCUGAUUAGGUAGUUGGUGAGGUAACGGCUCACCAAGCCGACGAUCAGUAACUGGUGUGAGAGCACGACCAGUCACACGGGCACUGAGACACGGGCCCGACUCCUACGGGAGGCAGCAGUAAGGAAUAUUGGUCAAUGGACGCAAGUCUGAACCAGCCAUGCCGCGUGGAGGAUGAAGGUCCUCUGGAUUGUAAACUUCUUUUAUCUGGGACGAAAAAGGGAAUUCUUUCUCGUCUGACGGUACCAGAUGAAUAAGCACCGGCUAACU